rnacentral:lncRNA from 1 species
UUGGUGCAGCUGUUGCCGCUCGCGCGCUGCCCGCCUGGGUCAGCGUUCCAUCGCCAGCUGUCCGAAGGGGCGAAAUUCACACUCUCACUCUCUCUCUCUCUCUCACACACACAUACAUAUACACUGUAUUCAGAGAUCCACGCCCCCUCCCACGAGGCGGGAGAGUGCGCGUGCGCGUCCCUCGGGGUCCGCGGGAGGCAGGCGAGUGAGGCAAAGAAGUGGGCGCGCGGCGUUGGCAGCACGCGCGCUUUGGGCUGCUGCUGCUGCUGCCGCCUCCUGACUGACUCAGGAGGAGGAAGAGGAGGAAGAAGAGAAGUUGCCAGCGAUGCCCAGCUGAGGAGAAGCCGGCCAGAGUGCAACAGGCAGCCAAUCAAGGGGUGGAAACCAUCACGUUUGGCAACGUUCACGGUAAGGUGACUGGUGCAUUAUACUAAAAGUGCUGAGGAGUGUCCCGAUUUCAGGCUUGGAGUGACUCAACUGAGAAGUAUGAUUUUGACAUCCCCUCCAAGCUUGCAAUCUUCUUUUGAUUUCCUUUUUCUGUUUGAUUUUUCUCCUUCAAACUGAAAUGAUAGAAACUUUGUCAAAGAAGAGCAUUGACUCAAAACAUAAUUUAAGAUGAUUUGAACAAGAACUUGUUUUUUGUUUUGUUUUUUCAUUUUGUGAUGCUGGCUGUUUUUUGGUUCGGGUUAUUUGGGGGAGGGGGGUUUGUAUUUCAAAAGUAUAUUUUCCCAAUUCUGUGCCAUACUUAUACAUUAACAGGACUUUGUUGGGAUUAAACCUAUUGAACCUUUGCAAAUAUGCUGUACUAGUAUUAUCUACUGAGCUGUUUCCACGUGGUUUGAGCAGCAUUUGGAGCCUAGAAGAACUUUCUUUAAAGCAGUUCUCCAAGAUCAAGCCAAGGACCCAUUCAAUCUACCAUCCUGCUUCAAAAAGUGGCCAGUGAAUUCCUUCUAGAGAAAACGACAGUUUGGGCAUGAGAAAAUGUAGGCUGGUGAACUGUGGGCUAGCUAGACAAUGCUGUUAGUAGAGUCAUUGUUGCUUGACUGAUAAAACUCAAAAAAUGCUCAUUGAUGGUUACUCUUCGUCCUGGAGAGAAGUGAAUAAUGUCAGAAUUAGUGUCAUACAUGAUCUUCAUAAAUUACUUGAAUGAUGCAAUAGAAAGCAUGCUUAUCAAAUUUCAUACAAUAUCAAAUUAGGAGUAUGGAUAGACAAAAUGAACAAAAUAAUAAAUAUGAGGUGCAACAUAUAGGCAGGAAUAAUGAAAUAUACAAAUAUAAAGUGAAAGAUACCUGGCUUAAAAACAGUACAUGUAAAAGGAAUUUCAGGAGUUUUGUAGCCCACUGACUUAAACAUGAAUCAAUAGUGUGAUGUGUAGCCAAUAAAUCCCAACACAGUUCUAGGUUGCAUCAACAGGAAUGAAGUGUCCAAAUUAAGGGAAAUAGUAGUCCCACUCUAUUCUGUUUUUGUCAGAGUCCACUGGAGUACCCAACCUAGUUCUGAGGAGGCAGGUGAGGAUGGAGAUUGACAAGCUGGGACGUCAAGGGUAACCAAAGUGGUCAAAGUCUAGAAACCAAGCCAUUUGAAAAAAAAUCCUUGAGAAGUAGGAUGUGUUUAACUUAGAGAAGACUGGGAAGUGACAUGGUAACCAUAGCAAAUAUUAUGUAGUAGAUGAGGUGAACAUAUUUUCAUCUAAAGGACAAAUGUCUUGAGUGUAAAAAGUAUUUGAAAGUGAAAUAGACUGUCUUAGAGUGUGAUGGACUCUCCUUUAUGCAGGUCUUUAAGAAGAAGUUAGAUGUAUAUCUUUUUGGAAUUGUUUAGAUAUAUAUUCCUGCAUGGCCCAGAGCUGGACUAGAUGACUCUUGCCACCCAUUUCAGCUUUAGGAUUCUAUGAUUCUAACUACAGCUCUUGUCACUGGUCAUACUUAGCAGAAAGAUACAAUGUGACCGCAUUUAUUUUAUUUUGAUUUAUUUUAAUGAGGUUUUUAGACUUUAUUGUUUUAAUUGUUUAAUUAGCUUGUUAUAUAUCUGCAUUUUUAAAUAUGUUUUUAUUUGGUUAUCUCUGUUAUUAUUAGGCAUGGUCCUGCUUGUAAGCCUCCCCGAGUUCCUUCAGGGAGAUGUGGUGGGAUAUAAAAAUGAAGUUGUUGUUAUUGUUAUUAUUAUUACUAUUACUAGUAGAUUCCAUUUGACUUGAAUGUCAUAAUAAUAGUGACCACAUCCAUUGUCUUUUUUUAAAGCUGUUCAAGCAGAUGGACAUUAUUACAUCUUCACAGAAUUAUAGAGUUGGAAGGGAUCUUAUGGAUCACCUAGUCCAACUCUCUGUUCAGUGCCACAUUUCCAGCUAAAGCAAGUAGUUGUCCAGCCUCUUUUUGAAGACAUACAGAAGUAACCACACCAUCUCUCUAGGCAACUGGUUUCAUUGCCAGACUGCUCUUCCUGUCAAGAAGUCCCUUGUAGUAUUGAAAUGCUGCUGUGAUAACAAAUUCUAUAUGCUGGUUAAGCAUAUUGGAAUAAGCAUCUCCUCUGAUCUGGCCUAGAUUUUCUGCUUAUUAGUUUAAUUGUCUCACUACAUUGUUGGUUUGUUGUUGGGUUGUUUGUUUGUUGUGUUUACAUUGCUCCUUUUUCAAAUAAAUUCAAGGGUCUUGACUGCAUAGUUCACUUGACUUGAUAAGCUAGGGAGUUGGUGGGAAUGACACUGGCUGAGAAAGUACAGCUACGUCAAUCCUACUUGCAAUAGAAGUGGCUAAGUGAACCAAGGGGGUUUGAUCCCAAGGGGGAUCUGAUUAUACAGGGGCGGGAACUGUGUUACUGUCCAGAAGUUAGUUAAUUGACACUUUCAGCUGUUAUAGCCAGUAUUGCCAGUGGCAAGCCAUGCUGGGAAUUACAAUUCUGCAAUAUUCAGAGGACUUCCCAUUACAGUUUGCAAUGUUAUCUCAACUUAUGUUCUUUCUCUUUUCUAGCUUGCUUCUCUCCCAAUAGUUUAUUGUGUCAUUGGAAUCCCACACUAUCCUCCACUCUUACUAAAAAGCUAUAUGUAUCACAACCUGUUGUUUAUGAACACUGCACUUUUGGGCUCAAAAGUUUAAAGGAGGAUGUUAAUGGAUUAAUAUAGAAGAGGGUGAGUAAGCAGUGCUUAGAGUCUAAAAAGCUACAAAGCUGUAAAAAUGUGAAGUUGUAUUUAUAUUGCUAUAGAUCUUGUCCUUUCAGGUACUGCAAUUGGACAGGGAUAUGUAUGGGCAAUGGACUCUCUGGCCAUAGGAAAGUGCUUAUAAAAGAAUACACAUUAAUAAAAUUGGCACUCUAAGGGUUAAUGUUAUGCAAAUCUGUCUCUCUCCUGCUCAGAUCAUCUCUCUUUUUCUUUUUCUUUUUCUCUAAUACCACUGAUUUCUUGAAAUGUUUGAGAGGGCACCACAAGAGCCUCUCAUCUAAGCUUCCUGAAAUCCUCCAAGGCAGGAGAUUGCACAACUUCCCUAAGAAACUCAACUCUAAAGAGACUAGAGGCUAAAGAACAUGUCAGGGAGAUUUUUCUAGUUUUCACCCUUGAUCUAACUCUGUCAUGCCCCCUUAAAUUUCCUAGGAACUGUUGCAUACAGUAUUCACACCUAUCCAUUUUUUAGCCCUACCAUACCAAACACACAUGCACACACUUAUUUGCAUCUUAGCUCUCUAGAUCCCAGUGCCUACUCUAAAUUCAGACAGAUCAAACUUCUGCUUUACCUUAACUCCGUUUUUUGCCUGGUUAAUUCCACCUCUCUAGCAUGCAAGUUCCAUUUCUCCAAAACUGACUGGAUCAGACUCUGGACUGUCAUAUUUAAAAGGAACAGAUAUAUUUAUGUUCUGCUCUCACUGAGGAUUACAAUCCUGUGUAUAUAUUUGUUUACUGGAUUUAUUUUACUAGAUGGCAUAUACCUUCGAAUAUUUCUCAGACAAAAGUCGGGAUACAUGUGAUCCAGCAAUUUCAGGAUGUGGUCAAGAUGGAAAAAUGUAUUAGUAAUGGAGAAAAGAUAAGUUAGGAGAGUCUGUAGCAGUUUACUUUACUUUGAGUGCACUGGGAAGAGAAAGAUUCCACCUCUUUGUCUCCUUUCCUUAAAUAAGUUGGGUGGACUUAUUUUCAAGGAUAGGUUCAACCAUCUAGGAACAUUAGAACAGGUCCUGGGUCAGUUUUGAUUUAAAAAGAACAUUUGAAAAUGAAGUACAUCUUAUUAUUACUGGUUCAGACCUUGUAAGUUUUCAUCAAAAAUAAUGUCAUGAUACAA